rnacentral:rRNA from 1 species
UACGUAGGGCGCAAGCGUUAUCCGGAUUCAUUGGGCGUAAAGAGCGUGUAGGCGGCCAGGUAGGUCGGUUGUGAAAACUGGAGGCUCAACCUUCAGAGGUCGACCGAAACCAUCUGGCUAGAGUCCGGGAGAGGAGAGUGGAAUUCCUGGUGUAGCGGUGAAAUGCGCAGAUAUCAGGAAGAACACCCGUGGCGAAAGCGGCUCUCUGGAACGGUACUGACGCUGAGACGCGAAAGCGUGGGGAGCGAACAGG